UACGAAGGGGGCUAGCGUUGCUCGGAAUCACUGGGCGUAAAGCGUGCGUAGGUGGUUGUUUAAGUCUGUUGUGAAAGCCCUGGGCUCAACCUGGGAAUUGCAGUGGAUACUGGGCGACUAGAGUGUGGUAGAGGGUAGUGGAAUUCCCGGUGUAGCAGUGAAAUGCGUAGAGAUCGGGAGGAACAUCCAUGGCGAAGGCAGCUACCUGGACCAACACUGACACUGAGGCACGAAAGCGUGGGGAGCAAACAGG
rnacentral:rRNA from 1 species